rnacentral:rRNA from 1 species
AUGCAAGUCGAACGGCAGCACGGGGGCAACCCUGGUGGCGAGUGGCGAACGGGUGAGUAAUACAUCGGAACGUGUCCUGUAGUGGGGGAUAGCCCGGCGAAAGCCGGAUUAAUACCGCAUACGCUCGAGAGAGGAAAGUGGGGGAUCUUCGGACCUCACGCUAAAGGGGCGGCCGAUGGCAGAUUAGCUAGUUGGUGGGGUAAAGGCCUACCAAGGCGACGAUCUGUAGCUGGUCUGAGAGGACGACCAGCCACACUGGGACUGAGACACGGCCCAGACUCCUACGGGAGGCAGCAGUGGGGAAUNUUGGANCAUGGGGGNCACCCUGAUCCAGNCAUGCCGCGUGUGUGAAGAAGCCUUCGGGUUGUAAAGCACUUUUGUCAGGGAAGAAAAGGGCGUCCCCUAUAUGGAAGCCUGAUGACGGUACCCGAGAAAAUAGCACGGCUACCUACGUG